UACGUAGGAUGCAAGCGUUGUCCGGAAUUACUGGGCGUAAAGAGCGAGCAGGCGGUCUGUCAAGUCAGAUGUGAAAUACCUCGGCUUAACUGAGGGGGGUCAUUUGAAACUGGCAAACUAGAGUGCAGGAGAGGAUAGCGGAAUUCCCGGUGUAGUGGUGAAAUGCGUAGAUAUCGGGAAGAACACCAGAGGCGAAGGCGGCUAUCUGGCCUGUAACUGACGCUGAGGCGCGAAGGCUAGGGGAGCAAACAGG
rnacentral:rRNA from 1 species